CACCAUUGGAAUAACAUUUCUAUAAAAAAAUGAAUAUGAGACUGUUCUACAGUGUUUACAAAACCCCCUUUUCCUUGUGUAGUAGUAUACAAGAUCAUGUGUAGAAACAGUCAUUGUUUUAAACUGUAAGCAAGUUUCCUUUCUUGUAGAACAAGAUUUACACUUAAAUAUUGCAAUCACUAGUCUAAUUUGGUUAACAAUGCUAGAAUCUGACAGUUUAAAGAAACUUUUUGUAGGCUCAAAAUACCUUUUUGUUAAAAAAGGUGUUUUGUAACAACAAAAAAUUUCUUUUCUCACUAAGGCUAGUUAAAGCUGUAGUAUACCCAUUUCUACCAAAUAAACUUAUCACUAGCACACUAACAAUCUGUUUGAGUUGCAAAGCCCUUUGAAUGAGUAGCACUGAUCUGCAAAAUGCUUUCAGAAUUAUUUAGGUUUGGUGUUAUCUUCUUUGAAUGACCCUAAAAAGGGAGAAGUGGCGAUGAUGGAACUUCAGUGAAGGCUUUGCCUGGACUGGACAUCUCUUCAUACUCAGCAAUGGACAAUUCAUUUCCAAAGUGGUCCCUCUGAGCCUUGGCCAUCAGUGAUGGUGAAAGCAACAGAUGUCAGAUGUCAGCCCCUGGCUUCCUGCCUUACCGUAGAGGGAUACUCGACAGACA
rnacentral:lncRNA from 1 species